CUCUACUAGUUCAUUAAUUUUGAACAGCACUUUCAGGAUGCAUGGCGUCAGUAAAACAAACUGGUCCAUUAAUGUGUCAAAGCUGUGAACAUCUGCAGGUCUUUGCAAGCCAAGUAUGCUGCUCUAUAAAAGCCAGGCUGAACAUUCAACAUUUCAUUGUGCUCAAAAGUGAACAGUAAAACAUUCUGCUAAAUACAAAGUUGGUGUUGAAGAAGCGUUCGAGAAGCUGAACUCCUGCAAAAGUCAUGAAGAAUUUCUUGGUCAUCUUGCUUGUGUUAUCCACCAUGACCCUGUGCUUGGCGAAGCCGAAAUGGAUAUGGUUCGAUGACGAAGAGAAGAAUGGUGGAAAUUUCAACGAUGAAGUCUUGACAAGAGAAAAUAGAAAUAAUAAAGGGAUUCUGAAGAAACAUUGCGACCCCCCGGGACCACACUGUCUCUUGAAAACACAGUAAUAACACUAUAUAACUUUAAUUAAACUACUAUAUAUUAACAUCAUAUUCAUGAUACUGAUAAUAUAUGUGUACGUCAAAUACUUUUUUGUGAGUACUAUUUUUUUUCAAUUUUUCUUUGCUCAUUCCCAGGCCAAGUACUGGUGCCGCGGCGAGCCUUAAGCGAGCGACCGUUUCUAUAAGAUUCGCUUCAAACUUUGCACUUUUAUAAUUUCCAUUAUUUUCUCUUCAGCUAAAACAGUCGACGUUUUCACCUACAAUAACGAUCU